rnacentral:rRNA from 1 species
UACGAAGGGUGCAAGCGUUAUUCGGAGUUACUGGGCGUAAAGAGCGCGUAGGCGGCCCUUUAAGUUAUUUGUUAAAUCUCCCGGCUUAACCGGGAACAUGCAAGUAAAACUGGGGGGCUAGAGUGUAAGAGAGAGAAGUGGAAUUCUCGGAGUAGCGGUAAAAUGCGUAGAUCUCGAGAGGAACACCGGAGGCGAAGGCGGCUUCUUGGCUUACAACUGACGCUCAAGUGCGAAAGCGUGGGGAGCAAACAGG